GACGAACGCUGGCGGCGUGCUUAACACAUGCAAGUCGAACGGAAAGGCCCUGCUUUUGUGGGGUGCUCGAGUGGCGAACGGGUGAGUAACACGUGAGUAACCUGCCCUUGACUUUGGGAUAACUUCAGGAAACUGGGGCUAAUACCGGAUAGGAGCUCCUGCUGCAUGGUGGGGGUUGGAAAGUUUCGGCGGUUGGGGAUGGACUCGCGGCUUAUCAGCUUGUUGGUGGGGUAGUGGCUUACCAAGGCUUUGACGGGUAGCCGGCCUGAGAGGGUGACCGGCCUCAAUGGGACUGAGGUACGGCCCAGACUCCUACGGGGGGCAGCAGUGGGGAAUAUUGCACAAUGGGCGGAAGCCUGAUGCAGCAACGCCGCGUGCGGGAUGACGGCCUUCGGGUUGUGAACCGCUUUCGCCUGUGACGAAGCGUGAGUGACGGUAAUGGGUAAAGAAGCACCGGCUAACUACGUG
rnacentral:rRNA from 1 species